rnacentral:sRNA from 1 species
AAAAUAAUUUAGAUGUGAAUAGUGUUGUCAAUGAAUAACAUAAAGUUCUAUAUAGAUAAACAAUAUUUUU